UUUUGCUCUCUUCAACUCACACUUACAAACUCAAUUAGUCUCAAAACUUCUCCCGUGGCGGACAUCGCUCCGAAGAUCCACGGGCACCUAUUCUCCUUCCCGGUAAUGCGAACCUUCACUUGCCUCCAUGAGAAAGGGGUUGAAUUCGAGUUCGUCCCCAUACAUAUGAAAGCCGGUGAACAUAAGAAGGAGCCCUUCAUCUCUCUCAGUCCAUUUGGAAUGAUUCCUGCCUUUGAAGAUGAAGAUUUGAAGCUAUUUGAGUCGAGAGCAAUAACCAAAUAUGUUGCCUAUGAGUACCACGGGAAGGG